AAACAUUAAAAAACAAAAAAAAAAAUGUGAACUGUUCUCUACAUAAAUUUAGAAAAACCUAUAUGGAAUACUACCUUUCUUCCAUUCACAAAGCAAAUUCACCUGGCUCCUUAAAAUAGGAUAUUAUGCAAAAAUAAUUGGCUGAAUGUUGUGAAGUUGCAUCAAAAGUACUUGCUGCUAUGUCCACCUGAGACCAUGUUGAUGAAGGUGGCAGGGAAACAGACUCUCUCGCUCAUGCUUUGUUGUACUAGCGCACACAUUUUGGAAAGUGAGUUAUUUGGGCCUAGCAGCAUGCAUACCCUUCAACCCAGAAAUAGCAGUUCCAGUUGAAAUCUCCCACCAUGAAAGAGGCACUAAACAACCAAAUAUGUACACAAAAUGGCAUUUGACAUUAGUCAUCUCUGCCAUUGGUCACCCCACUGAUGACACAGUGGGUGUGGGAAGAGUCAUGACAGCAGGAUGGGCACUUUGCCUCCAUGCAGCUACUGCUACUGCUGAAUGUCCAACCCACCCCAACACAGAACUAGCCCCAAGUUAGUACCAUCCUUCCAGGAGACCAUCUGGCCACUGGAGGACAAACGGACAACUCCACCCUGGAAGGAGCAGUGAUUUAUUUUAACAGAAGUUGUUAUGCAUUCUGGGUAAAAGUUUGCCUUGCCUGGGGGAGCCUGGGUGGCUCAGUGGGUUGAGCAUCAGACUUCAGCUCUGAUCAUGAUCUCAGGGUUCAUGAGUUCAAGCCCUAUGUCGGGCUCUGUGCUGACAGCUCAGAACCUGGAACCUACUUCAGAUUCUGUGUCUCCCACUGCUCCUCUCCCACUCACUCUCUCUCUCUCUUUAUCAAAAAUAAACAAACAUUAAAAAAAUUUAAAGAAAAAAAGGUUUGCCUUGCCUGCCUAUAGGCGUUAGCCAUCACCACUCCCUAAGGGCUUACACAGUAUUAAGUGCACUCUCGUAAUUUACAGCAAAGUAAAUGCAUCUGCUCUACAGCAGUGGGCUGAGUGUGUGACAUGCGAUCCACUGGUCAUAUUAUGUCUGUACCACUCAGAAAUGGCUAAUCUGAUAGAACAAUGGAAUGGCCUAGAGAAAUGACAGCCAGGAGGCUGGUGAGGAUGGAGCUCCUCCAGGAUGCAAGAUACUCAAAAUCAAAUGGACAGUUAACAAGCUGGCAGAAGAUAUCCAGACAUUUAUAGCAGAUUAUAGUUAAUACCCAUUGUAUAAUUAAAUUACUUAAAUUGAUAAGUAAAAAACCUGAUAGGAGGAAAUAAAGUACAGAAGAAUAAAUACAAAUAUUCACUAAUAUAUUAUAAAAGGGAAAACCUCACGAUAACAAGAAAUGCCAGUUAUGACUGUCAUUUCCCUCACAUAUUUGAAAAAUGGCAGGAAUGGAUAAUAUGCAGUGUUGGUGAAGGCUGUGGGGAAACACUCUCAUACAUGAUUUUCUGUACAAGUGCACACAUUUUGGAAGGUGAGUGAGUUGGACCUAGCAGCAUGCUUACCCUUCAACCUAGAAAUUCCAGUUCUCAGAAUCUGAAUACUUGUUCAAAUGUGCCAAGUUAAAGCCCAAGGAUUUUUCAUUGCAGCAGUAUUUGUAGUAGUGACAAAUGGAAAACAACUUCAUGUAAACUAAUAGAGGACAAUUUGUGGGAAAAAUAAGAAGUUAAUAUUUUUUGAGAACUUACUAGAUACCAGUCAGUGUUCCAAAUACUUUACAUGUAUUAGCUGAUUUAAUCCUCACAACAACUCUUCUUUGUCCAUUUCAUAGGUGAGGCAAUUGAGGCAGAGAGCCUAAGUAACUUGGAGAAAAAAAAAAACGGAUUUGAAAUAGUAUGAGUAGCUUGAUUUUACUUUUAGAAACCAACAAGAACAAUUCAUGUAUGUGUGCAUGCACAUGCGCACACGCAUUUGCAUGGGAAAAUUGUGGAUACAGAGGAAUCUGAUAAUAGUUAGCUCUGGAAAGUGAAAAUUGGGAAGGAGGAUUUUCUCUUUCUACUUACAUACUUUUGUAUUAUUGAUAUUUUUAAAGUAAGCGUUAGUUUUAGAAUUUAAAAACAAAUAACAUUAACACCUAAAAAUUCACCUGAAUGCAUUAUGUUUACAUGAUUUUGUUCCAUUUCACUGACUGAAGGGUUUGUUGUGGUUGUAGGAAGAAGUUUUAUUCCAGGGCAGGAUGAAGUGUGCAUUGUGUAAGAACUACAUUGAGACUGAGGUUCUAGCUUGGCUUAAGGGAGGAAAAGAGUGUGGGUGGCAGAGGAAGGUGGGGAAAUCAGAGGUUGGGAGCAUAGACAGGAUUUUAUCAGAGGAAAACAGAGAGCAGACCCGAAACACCCUCAGGGCUGAAAGAGACCCCAUAAGAAGUCUAAAAGCCUGCUCUCCACCCUCCUAAUAGCCCUCCUAAAGGCAGACAGCCACAUUCAGGGUCAUAGUCCAGUUCCCUUAUUCUCUCCUUGAGAGGUACAGUGAAUUUUACAUGCAUUCAGCAGCCUGACCAUUUGGGAAAAUGCCUAAUUAUCCUUAUUAUUCCUCCAACCAGUAUUUAUUAAGCUUCCCCUAUCCCAGGCACUGGGAACCAGUUACCUGCCAUCAGGGAGCUUAUACUCUGAUACAGUUAUUGAAUGACUCACCUUUAAGGUGAUCUUCUUUGACUGUUCCUCGUAUUCUCUUUAUAAGCUCACACAUAAUCUAGAGUUUGCUUGAAGGGUAAUGAGUUAAUGAUUUGACGAACCGUAACAAUCAACAGACUGAAGAAGGCAUAGGAGUAAGUCAAGAUCAUUUCAACAUCCGAAAUGCGUUUUUAAGAAGAUAGUUUGGAGGAGGUAAUGGCUUUCUUAAUUCCAAGUAAUAAAAUAUUUAUUUUUUAGAUAGCCAUACUCAAACCCAAAAUCAUUUAUGUGAUGGCUAAACUUUAAUAUGUGCUCAACUAGUUAUGUUCAUGUCAAAGUAAUUACUGUUAUAAUCAUCUAAAUACAUUUUUUUUUCUUUUUUUGGAAACUGCCUCUGUAGUGACAACGGGUCUUUUCAGCUUCAUCAUCCAAACUCUGAAGGCCUUCUCCAUCACCACCUGCCUGGUGCCUCAUCUGCUGGUCUCUCUUUUGGGGCCACAGUUACCACCAAAGAAGGCAUAGGAAGUACCCAAAACAGGAUUCACCUAGUUCAAGGUGGAUCCUCUGUGUUCCUUGCUUUUAGGAAAACAUUACUAAAGGCCAUCCACCCAGCAUGGAUUCCACACCACAGGCAUGAUGAUGAGCGUCUGUAUUUGCUAAGGAACUACCUGGAACCCUCCACAGAGCAGUCCAUGGGAAGCUUGGGGCUGCACACCCAACACAGAGCACAACUUGGGGCCUGAACUCACGACCUGAGAUCAAGA